CAUUUAACUUGUGGUUUGUGGAUGUCACUACAAAACGAGGUUUGGGAGAGGGCUGUGUAGUCAACUACAAGUUGUCUACCCCAAGUUUCAUCAGAGAGGAGGUUGGCUAUUGGCUUCAGAUACUGUGAUAGGUUCCAUCGUGGUUUCCAGUGAUCCCUCAUCCCUGGUAUUGACACUUCUCUGCUCCAUAAUGCUUCUCCAUUUGGAUUUUUCUGGUUUUCCUUCAUGAUGAGAUUCAGAGUUUGUCUUUGGAAGGAAUGUGACGGAAGUGGCUGCAUUGUCCUCUUUGCAUCCUCAGUUUCACAGUUCUGCACAUCCUGUGAGAGAGGCAUUAACUGGCAAUCCUUCAAGAUAUUUCUGAAUGCAUUUUGAGAUUUUUUCCCUGGAUUAUCUUUUCAAGAAUAUUUAAAUAGCAAGCAGCCCUGGAAGAUACAAACUUUGUCUCAUAACAGUGCAGAGGACAGAUUAUUCUGCUACCUACCAUAAUAAAGAUGUCUCCCCCUGCAGCAAAGUUCCCGAAGGUUUGCUUAUAGCCUAGUAUAAAAGACUAGAGUCUUCUCUUGUGUGACACAACCCACUGUGUGGUAGGACUCUUAUCCUAAUACCUUGUGGGAGUUGGAACGUGAAGAACUGGCACAAUAAAAUGAUGUUACUCUAGUUUCUGAAGUUGUCUUGAGUCAUGACACAUCCUAUGCCUCGACCUCGGGAGUCUUGUGUCUUCUGCCAGCACCCAAGACACUGUGGCAGGAUAAUUUGUUAGCUUGCAAGGAGGGCAAAAUAUCACAGGGUUUACAGUUAUUACCAGAAAUGUAAUUGGUUACAAAUAACAGAAAAUCCAAAUGCCACUGGCUUCAAUAGAGAUUUAUUUAUUUAUUUAUUUAUUUAUUUAUUUAUUUAUUUAUUUUCAAAUGUUUUAUUUAUGUUUUUGAGAGAGCACGCAAGCAGA